rnacentral:rRNA from 1 species
CACGUAGGGUGCGAACGUUGUCCGGAAUUACUGGGCGUAAAGAGCGCGCAGGCGGUCGUUCAAGUCGAGUGUGAAAGCCCCCGGCUCAACUGGGGAGGGUCACUCGAUACUGAUCGACUCGAAGGCAGGAGAGGGUAGUGGAAUUCCCGGUGUAGUGGUGAAAUGCGUAGAUAUUGGGAGGAACACCAGUGGCGAAGGCGGCUCACUGGACCGGAACUGACGCUGAGGCGCGAAAGCGUGGGGAGCAAACAGG